rfam:Schistosoma curassoni strain Dakar, Senegal genome assembly, scaffold: SCTD_scaffold0007717
AUCCAACUGAUGAGUCUCAAAUAGAAUGAAACGUGCGUCCUGGUU